rnacentral:rRNA from 1 species
AUUGAACGCUGGCGGCAGGCCUAACACAUGCAAGUCGAACGAGUGGCGGACGGGUGAGUAAUGUCCGGGAAACUGCCCGAUGGAGGGGGAUAACUACUGGAAACGGUAGCUAAUACCGCAUACCAUCGGAUGUGCCCAGAUGGGAUUAGCUUGUAGGUGAGGUAACGGCUCACCUAGGCGACGAUCCCUAGCUGGUCUGCGGGGGUGACCAGCCACACUGGAAGUGAGCCAAGGUCCAGAAUCCGAAGGGAGGCAGCAGUGGGGAAUAUUGCACAAUGGGCGAAAGCCUGAUGCAGCCAUGCCGCGUGUAUGAAGAAGGCCUUCGGGUUGGAAAGUACUUUCAGCGGGGAGGCGUUACCCGCAGAAGAAGCACCGGCUAACUCCGUGCCAGCAGCCGCGGUAAGAC